AACGAACGCUGGCGGCAUGCCUAACACAUACAAGUCGAACGAGACCUUCGGGUCUAGUGGCGCACGGGUGCGUAACGCGUGGGAACCUGCCCUUAGGUUCGGAAUAACUCCCCGAAAGGGGUGCUAAUACCGGAUAAUGUCUUCGGACCAAAGAUUUAUCGCCUUUGGAUGGGCCCGCGUUGGAUUAGCUAGUUGGUAGGGUAAAAGCCUACCAAGGCGACGAUCCAUAGCUGGUCUGAGAGGUUGAUCAGCCACACUGGGACUGAGACACGGCCCAGACUCCUACGGGAGGCAGCAGUGGGGAAUAUUGGACAAUGGGCGAAAGCCUGAUCCAGCAAUGCCGCGUGAGUGAUGAAGGCCUUAGGGUUGUAAAGCUCUUUUACCCGGGAUGAUAAUGACAGUACCGGGAGAAUAAGCUCCGGCUAACUCCGUG
rnacentral:rRNA from 1 species